CGCGUAGGUGGCCACCAUAAGGCCGCGGUGAAAGUCUGGGGCUCAACCCCGGAUCGGCCGCGACGACUGUGGGGCUCGGGUACUGUAGAGGCAGGUGGAAUUCCGGGUGUAGCGGUGGAAUGCGUAGAGAUCCGGAAGAACACCAGUGGCGAAGGCGGCCUGCUGGGCAGUGGACCCGAAAGGGUCCUUCAACCGACACUGAGGCGCGACAGCGUGGGAGCAAACA
rnacentral:rRNA from 1 species